CUUCUCUAUAAAAGCCAACCCUCUCACGACUCUGAAUCGAUCAUAUGUGCACCACCGAAGACGAUAGGAUGAGGACAGUCGUCAAGAGUCGUGCUUCUCUCCUCCUCACACUCGUCAUCAUCGUCUUCCUCGUCACAGCGAGAGGGGAGACGACCCCUGUGAAGGAAGCGAAAGCGCAGAUUAUAUACCAUGCCUCUAGCGGUAAGCCCGCGCGCCGUGGAACACCCUAUACGAGGGGAUGCGGGAGCCAUUACUACUGCCGUCCGCCUUCUACCCCUCCGCCUCCGCCUCCGCCUCCGCCUUCGACCCCAUGAUAGGCUACUUCGGCAGCCUGGAGGAG